AGUGAACGCUGGCGGUAGGCCUAACACAUGCAAGUCGAACGGCAGCACAGUAAGAGCUUGCUCUUACGGGUGGCGAGUGGCGGACAGGUGAGGAAUACAUCGGAAUCUACUUUUUCGUGGGGGAUAACGUAGGGAAACUUACGCUAAUACCGCAUACGACCUACGGGUGAAAGCAGGGGAUCUUCGGACCUUGCGCGAUUGAAUGAGCCGAUGUCGGAUUAGCUAGUUGGCGGGGUAAGGGCCCACCAAGGCGACGAUCCGUAGCUGGUCUGAGAGGAUGAUCAGCCACACUGGAACUGAGACACGGCCCAGACUCCUACGGGAGGCAGCAGUGGGGAAUAUUGGACAAUGGGCGCAAGCCUGAUCCAGCCAUACCGCGUGGGUGAAGAAGGCCUUCGGGUUGUAAAGCCCUUUUGUUGGGAAAGAAAAGCAGCAGGUUAAUACCCCGCUGUUCUGACGGUACCCAAAGAAUAAGCACCGGCUAACUUCGUG
rnacentral:rRNA from 1 species